rnacentral:lncRNA from 1 species
CCUCCUAAUUAAUAUGUAACUGUCCGAAAUAUCCCGCUCCCCUAACCGCAAAGACCUCCCAUCACAUCGUCUCUCUUACUCUCUCUUACCUCUCUGAUCCUCCGCCUCCAGCCAUCGCCGGAAAUCGCUCUACGAUGGCGGCGCCACUCCAAACCUCCCCAACUUUUGACCAGUCAAUCCUCGUCCUCUCCCCUUUCCUUCGAAUCUUUCUCAAACCGCUCAAAUUUCAGAUCUGAGACCAAACCCUUGUUCAUCCAAACCCUUCCAAACUCGUCCAACUUCUAACCAGACAACCACCACACUCCCCUCAUCUCAUAUUUCCCGUCAGUUACAUUAGAAACCCCACCAAAAUUGGUGAAUUUUAGAUCUAAGAGUCCAGAAGAAACCCUAGUUCAACCUUGUGCAAAUUGCUUGUGGUAUUUUGUUCGUUUUGGGUCUAGACUCAUUUGGAUCGAUUGAUCUUGGUAAGAGCAAUCGUUUUGCAACCGUUUUGACCUAUUUCGAAGUCACCGUUUUGACUAAUUCACCACUAAUGCCUGGCCAAGGUCGUUGCCUUCCUUGUUCGUUGGGUCGCUCCAGUCGACAAUUCCUUCCGUUUGAAAAAAAAAUAGUACCCUUCCUCUUUCUUUUCUAUUUCUUUUUUGUUUUUGCUUUGUUUCUGUUUAUGAUUUUUCCUUUUAUUUGUUUGAAUUAAUUUCUGAUUAUCUACUUGUUUGAAUGUGUUUUGAUUAUUUAAUUUUUCAAAUUAGUUUUAUUGGCUACUUGUUUAUAUUUGUUUGGGCAUUUUACUUGUUUAGAAUUAGUCUGGAUUAUUUAGUUGUGUAAAUUAGUUUCAUUAUUUGUUUUUUUUUGAAUUUGUUCUUAUUAUUCACUUGUUCGAAUUAGUUUUUAGAUUGUUUAAAAUUAGUGUUUUUGUUUGAUCAUUCGUGUAGGUUUCAGGUUAGUCGAGCUGAGUCAACUAAUUGUCGAUUGAUUUGCAUAUCUUUUAGGUUGUUUGAAUUUAGUUGUUAGUUGAUUAGGUUGCUAAUUAAUUUCAAAAUGGUCAAAUGAUUUGGAGUAAUUUGUAGCAAUUGUUUUAGGGGUUUUGACACAGUUACCCAUAAAAAUAAAAUUUUACCCUUGUCUACCUAUUUGUUUUUCUACCCAUAAGCUAAUUACAUUUCCUACCCAUAGUAGUUUUUGUAGGGAUUUUUUUCUUUAUUCUCCAAUUAUUUUUUAUUUCUAUGCUUCUUUUCUUAUUCUUUUUCUUUUUUUUUCCUUUUCUGCUUUUCUUUUUUCUUGUUUUCUUCUUAUUUUUUGUCUUUUUUCCUUUUCUAAUUUCAUUUAACUUCUUUUUUUUUAUAUUCCUUUUCUCUUCAUAAUCUAAUUUCAUUUACUGUUUUCACUAUUCUUUAUCAUUCUAUUUUUAUACAAUAAGUAAAAUAAUUGAUACAGUAAUAUUUGUCACCUUUUUUAAUAUAACUAGUACAAUAUACCUUUUAUUUUAUUUUUCUUUCUCAUUUUUAAGUUCAAUUAUUAAACUGAAAUAAUAUCAGUUGUCACUUGAUCUAAUACACUGAAUAUCACAUUGNNNN